UCAUUUGCAACCAUAUUCAAUAAACUUUACACUAACAUUUACUUUUUUUACCUCAAGUAACAAUAAACCAUUUUAGAAAAGUAUAUUUACUAAAUUUGUUUAUCAGACAAAAAACCUAGUCAGAUUGGCAAUCUACCACGAAGCUUUCGUAGGUUGUCAUCACCUAAAAAACCUUUGCGUUACAGAAAAAAAGGUACAAAUAUAUAUAAUUUGAAAGCUUUGAGUCACCAUAAAUUAACCAGAGGCACGUCAUGCACAAAGAAAUCCAACUUGAGUAGUGCACACUAUUGGUUUUGCAUGUUUUGGUGACCUAGGAAAGUGGAUAUCAGACAUCAAUCCCUGCACCAUUGGUUGAUCCCUUUGGGAUGGCAAAGAAAACCAGAUUUCAGUCAUCUCAGUAUUAAGUCAUCAGAUACACUUCAACGCACUUAUAUAUCUUUAUAUCAUAAAUUAAUCUUGUUAGAAGAACUUAAUGAGUAUAAAUACCAAUGCUUGCAUCCAUUAGUUUCUAAGAUAUAUACUUGUUUCUUUCUUCUUCAGCAAGCAAGUAUGAGUACUAAGGGCAUGUUGAGGAGAUUUUUAGGGUUGAUUUGCUUAGUGUUCUUGGUUUUAAGUGCAGGAAGUGAGGCACGGGGUUUGAAGCCAAGAACAGUGAGGGACGUGCGUGGAACCUCGAAUUGGACAACCUUUGCAGAAGAAGGUGUGCAGCGUGAUACACAACGAUUGAGCCCUGGUGGACCUGAUGCUCAUCAUCAUUAGCUUCUGAAUGUAAAAUAAAGUACUGUGAUUCAGCUACUUCAUGCGUUUUUAUAAUGUAAUGAUAAUUCUGAUGUAUCCAGAUUUUGUGAGAAUAAAUUUUGUGUUAUGGAAUGCAAGACUCUGAAUUUUGGAACAGAAGAAAGAAAAUUUUAGUUGUUUUACGUAUAUACACGAUUGUUGAGUAAUUUUAAGAUGGUAACAGAGAAGGGUGAUGUAGGGUGGAAGCAUGUUGAAAGUGAUGGAGAUGAGUAUAUGAUGAGCAAAGUGCAUGCACAUGAAUCAUAUUGUGUGAUUCGUCGUGCUGUGCCUAACUGGAUUGAGGAUAGGAUAAGGUAAAUGGCACUAUAAUUAUAGAUGGUGGAAAUGAAGGCAGAAUAGGAAG
rnacentral:lncRNA from 1 species